UAGCUCAGUCGAUAGAGCACGAGACUCUUAAUCUCGGGGUCGUGGGUUCGUGCUCCAC
rfam:Octopus bimaculoides Scaffold233801_contig_40, whole genome shotgun sequence.